rnacentral:rRNA from 1 species
ACUCUGCGAGCAGAGCGCGCGCGAGCAACAAAGCCCGCAGCGCGCAAAACCAAGCGCUGCCUCCGGCGGCUGGGGCCAGCCCCAGACCCCGUGGCUCGCUUCGCUCGAUCAAUAAACCAAAAAAACAAAAAAAAACUCUCAACAACGGAUCUCUAGGCUCUCGCUUCGAUGAAGAACGCAGCAAACCGCGAUACGUAGUGUCUCCUGCAAGCGAAUCAUCAAAUCUUUGAACGCACAUUGCGGCCUCGGCCAUUUGGGCCGGAGUGGUCAACACCUGUCCUGGUCCCCCUCGACAAAACACUCCCUACACUACCCCCAAACAACCCUCCCCCCCAAAAGACUACCCGCCGAACUUAAGCAUAUCAAUAAGCGGAGGAA